CCUACGGGAUGCUGCAGUGGGGAAUAUUGGACAAUGGGCGAAAGCCUGAUCCAGCCAUGCCGCGUGUGUGAAGAAGGCCUUCGGGUUGUAAAGCACUUUCAGUGGGGAAGAAAGCCUUGGGGCUAAUACCCUCGAGGAAGGACAUCACCCACAGAAGAAGCACCGGCUAACUCCGUGCCAGCAGCCGCGGUAAUACGGAGGGUGCGAGCGUUAAUCGGAAUUACUGGGCGUAAAGCGCGCGUAGGCGGUCUGAUAAGCCGGUUGUGAAAGCCCCGGGCUCAACCUGGGAACGGCAUCCGGAACUGUCAGGCUAGAGUGCAGGAGAGGAAGGUAGAAUUCCCGGUGUAGCGGUGAAAUGCGUAGAGAUCGGGAGGAAUACCAGUGGCGAAGGCGGACUUCUGGACUGACACUGACGCUGAGGUGCGAAAGCGUGGGUAGCAAACAGGAUUAGAUACCCCGAUAGUC
rnacentral:rRNA from 1 species